rnacentral:rRNA from 1 species
UACGAAGGGUGCAAGCGUUACUCGGAAUUACUGGGCGUAAAGCGUGCGUAGGUGGUUUGUUAAGUCUGUUGUGAAAGCCCCGGGCUCAACCUGGGAAUGGCAAUGGAUACUGGCAAGCUAGAGUGCGGUAGAGGGUAGUGGAAUUCCCGGUGUAGCGGUGAAAUGCGUAGAGAUCGGGAGGAACACCAGUGGCGAAGGCGGCUACCUGGACCAGCACUGACACUGAGAGACGAAAGCUAGGGGAGCGAAUGGG